ensembl:lncRNA
UGAUGUGUGUAAUUAUACCUUGCUUUUUUUUUAUGUAGCUGCAAAUCAAUUACAAAGUGCUGAAGUGAACAAGCCAGAACCACAAAGUGCUGACGUAAAGGAAAUGAAAGCCUCUGGUGAGGACAGUGAGAGAGAGGAGCUGUGGCGUCUCCACGACGAUGUGUUUUAUCUGUUCUGGGAGGCUGAGGGGAGCUGCAGCGAGGCCCUGAAGUUCUGUGAAGAUAGAAACUCCAGAAUAACCACCAUGUCAGUCUAUGAGAAAUAUCAUAUUGGCCGGGCAAUUAAGAUUGAGCUUUUUCACCGCCCUGCAAAUCACGUGGCUAAUUUCCCUAUUAUGAGAGCACUGACAAGAUGCCUUAAAUGCAUUUCAUUUAGAUACACUUCUUCCUCUUCUUCUUCUUCUUCUUCCGGCUGCUCCCUUUAGGGGUCGCCACAGCAGAUCAUCUGCCUCCAGCUUGCCCUAUCCACUGCCUCCUGUACUUUCACACCAACCAUCUCCAUGUCCACCUUCACUACAUCCAUAAACCUUCUCUGAGGUCUACCUCUUCUCCUUCUACCUGGCAGCUCCAUCUCCAACAUUCUUUGCCCAAUAUAUCCACUAUUCCUCCUCAACACAUGUCCAAACCAUCUCAACCUGGCCUCUCUGGCUUUAUCUCCAAACUGCUCCACCUUCACUAUCCCUCUGAUCUGCUCGUUUCUAAUCUUGUUCAUCCUGGUCACUCCCAACAAAAAUCUCAGCAUCUUCAUCUCCGCCACCUCCAGCUCAGCCUCCUGUCUUUUAGACAGAGCCACAGUCUCCAAACCAAACAUCAUAGCAGGACGCACUGCUGUCUUGUAGACCUUCCCUUUCACUCUUGCUGCUAUCCUUCUGUCACACAUCAGCCCUGACACCCGUCUCCACCCACAUCCUGCCUGCACCCUCUUCUUCACCUCUUUUCUACACUGUCCAUUGCUCUGGAUGGUUGACCCAAGAUAUUUGAAGUCAUCCACCUUUACGACCUCUACUCCUUGCAUCUUCACCUUUCCACCUGCCUCCCUCUCAUUCACACACAUGUAUUCCGUCUUGUCUCUACUGACCUUCAUUCCUCUCCUCUCCAGUGCAAACCUCCACCUCUCCAGAUUCUCUUCCACCUGCUCUUUACUGUCACCACAGAUUACAAUGUCAUCUGCAAACAUCAUGGUCCAUGGAGCCUCCUGCCUGACCUCAUCUGUCAACCUGUCCAUCACCAUUGCAAACAAGAAGGGGCUCAAAGCUGAUCCCUGAUGUAACCCCACCUUCACCUUGAAACCAUUUGUCACUCCAACUGCACACCUCACCACUGUCUCACUAUCCUCAUACAUGUCCUGCACCACCCUAACAUACUUUUCAGCUACACCAGUGUAGCCCUCUUUUACCACAGAGGGGGUGGUGUUUGUGUUAUACUGAGUUCGUGGGUGUGGUUCCCACCAGUUAAGCUCCCGUUGUUACCAGUUAACUUAACUUCACCCGUUCUAACUGUACUACACGUACCAACCAUAUAACCAUAGAGUGGAGUCAGACAGUUUUGAAAAUAGUGUGUAUUAUAAAAAUAUAUUUUAUGCAACGAAAAGACAAUAUACGAAUACCAAUGCUGUAAAUAACCAAAUGCUGCAAAUAACAAAUUUAGAUAAGGAUAAUCAACCGUGCAUUUAUACUCUCAACCCAGUGUAAACUCAAAUAUAAUUGUCAGCUAUAUUAGAGAAAAUAAAACUUAAAAGCCUCUGGCUCUAUCUAUACAAUGCUACUGUGACCGGUCACUCUUUAAGGAAACUUUUAAAGCCGGCAAAGAAAAGAAUAAAAUAAUAAAAGGUGCAGGCCUGUUGAAGUGUAGUAUUCCAGAAAUCCCUUGUUUUUAUUUAUUGGGACAGUACUCAAAUCAGUUCUUAGGUGUGGUGUGCUUACAAACUUGUCCGUCAGCGGCUCUUGGGAUACAGUGGGGCUUGAACUGGUGGCUCACCCGAGGAACUCCGAGCAUUCCGGUAACUCGGAGCGCUAGCGGACAGCAUUCACGUCCCUCGGAGGAUAGACUGAGGAACCCUGAGCGUUCCGGUAACCCAGGGCGCUAUCAGCUAGCGGUUGUCCCACGUAGCUUGGUUUAUCACGGCAGACAUUCAGACUACAGUCCAAAACUCUAGCCUCUGAAUGGCUCUGGAGCUAGCGUUAGCGGUUAGCGGCUACUGCUAAAGCUACUGCACCCCAGCAUUAGCGCCGGGAAACCCACUGCAAACUCACCCCUAUCAGGCUGCACUUCAGCAGAGUGUCGUUACUGCUGUUUAAACCCUGACUGGUAGCAGUUUACUCACUUUAAACAGUAAGAGAACUGAAUAAAUUCAGACACAGAGUACUAUUAAAUCACGCGAGCUGCAUGACUCCUCUCCCACGUCUCUCUCUGACUCUCUGUCUGACUCUCUGUCUCU